AUGGUAUGGUCCGUCCGUGUCCCACUGAAGAUUCGCAUCUUCAUGUGGCAGUGGAUCCGUGGACAGGUCCCGUCCGGUGUGGAGGUCCGCAAGCGCAAUGGCUCGGGCACAGGUAUCUGCCCCCUCUGCGAUGUUCCCGAAGACUCCAAUCACAUUUUCUUCGCAUGCGUCUCCGCCCGAUUCCUUUGGAGCUGCUUUCACGAGAUUGUUGGUGGGAGUUGGUGCCACACCAAUUUCCCGGACCUUUUUGCUGAACUCCAAGUGUCCCUACGUCCUCUCGCCACAUUAGGUGGCUGGAGGUUGGGGUCCUUGCGUGGACGCUGUGGACAGUUUGCAAUAAGCUUGUGA
rnacentral:rRNA from 1 species